rnacentral:rRNA from 1 species
UAGGGAAUCUUCCGCAAUGGACGCAAGUCUGACGGAGCAACGCCGCGUGAGUGAAGAAGGAUUUCGGUUCGUAAAACUCUGUUGUUAGAGAAGAACAGCGCAUAGAGUAACUGUUAUGCGUGUGACGGUAUCUAACCAGAAAGCCACGGCUAACUACGUGCCAGCAGCCGCGGUAAUACGUAGGUGGCAAGCGUUGUCCGGAUUUAUUGGGCGUAAAGCGAGCGCAGGCGGUCAAUUAAGUCUGAUGUGAAAGCCCCCGACUCAACCGGGGAGGGUCAUUGGAAACUGGUUGACUUGAGUGCAGAAGAGGAGAGUGGAAUUCCAUGUGUAGCGGUGAAAUGCGUAGAUAUAUGGAGGAACACCAGUGGCGAAGGCGACUCUCUGGUCUGUAACUGACGCUGAGGUUCGAAAGCGUGGGUAGCGAACAGG